UUGAUCCUGCCGGAGAUCACUGUUAUCAGGUUUCGACUUAUCCAUGCGAGGCGCGAGCUAUUUGGGCUCGCCGAACUGCUCAGUAACACGUAGUUAACCUAACCUCAAGUGGAGGAUAAUCCUGGGAAACUGGGGCUAAUACUCCAUAGCUGUUGAGUGCUGGAAUGCUUUAACAGCCAAAACUCAGGCGCUUGAGGAUGGGACUGCGGCCUAUCAUGGCUGUUGUGAGUUUAAAAUACUCACAAACCUAUAACGGGUAGAGGCCAUGAGAGUGGAAGCCUCGAGAUGCCUUCUGAGACAUGAAGGCAGGUCCUACGGGACGCAGCAGGCGCGAAAACUUUCCAAUUGCUUAACGGCUGAGAAGGGAAGCCUGAGUGUCUAUGCAUAGCAUAGACUUUUGUAUUGCUUAAAUAGCAAAACGAAUAAGUGGUGGGUAAGACGGGUGGCAGCCGCCGCGGUAAUACCCGCGCCACUAAUGGUGAUCGCGAUUAUUGGGUCUAAAGCGUCCGUAGCCGGUUCAACAAGUUCUUGGUGAAAUCCAGCAGUUAACUGUUGGGCUUGCUGAGAAUACUGUUGGACUUGGGAUUGGGAUAGGAUAGGGGUAUUCCAUGAGUAGGGGUUAAAUCCUUUAAUUCAUGGAGGACCACCGGUGGCGAAGGCGCCUAUCUGGAACAAGUCCGACGGUGAGGGACGAAAGCGUGGGGAGCAAAUCUAAUCCUUCGAUAAAAGGAUGAGAGCUCAAAUGGGAUUAGAUACCCCAGUAGUCCACGCUGUAAACGAUGUCCGCCUGAUGUUGCAAACUCUACGGGAGUUUGCAGUGUCGGAGUGUAGGUGUUAAGCGGACCACCUGGGGAGUACGGCCGCAAGGUUGAAACUUAAGGGAAUUGGCGGGAGAGCACACAAGGGGUGGAGGCUGCGGUUUAAUUGGAUUCAACGCCGG
rnacentral:rRNA from 1 species